GAGAGAGAGAGAGAGAGAGAGAGAGAGAGAGAUGCAGCAGCGACGAUUAUCUAUUUUCAAGUAGAUCUCGAGUCUAAAGUAUUUUUCUCGCGAAACAUUUUUUCGUCCUUUUCUUAAAUUAUUUAAAUUUCAUAUUAGGGACGCACAGAGUCUCAGAAUUUUUCUUAAGAAGAAGCAGAGAAGAGUCGUGGCGAGCUCAUUAACAUAUCCUUGUCCCAGGAGAGUUUCCUCGGGCCAAAGUCGUAAAUAACUACGCACAUGGUGGACAGAAGGAGGAUGGGAGAAGUAAGAAGGAGUAGCGCAAAAUCUUACUGGCGUAAUGUAAAAGUAAAAACUCUCGAAGGGGGAUGACAAAUCGGUACAGGAUUUCUCGUUGGCUAGAUCGCAAGCGUAGCGAGCGUUACAACGUUUCGCUAAUUAGGGACGUUUCAGUAACGUGGUCUAAUAAGUUUGGACCAGCAGGAUUGCUAGUGGUGCGUUUCCAGAACGAGCAGUAAGCAAAUGGUAAGUACGGUGCGAGUAAUCGAACCACCCGUACGCGGUCAAUAAAUUCAUGCUCUGAUUGCGCGUAAAAACGGCAAUUACCGGUAGCCAUCGUGCGUGAAGAUAUCACGCUGAAUUACACCCCGUUAUGUUCAUUUUCCCUGUGCGCGGCACUACGCCAUUUGCACGGCUACCUACCUUCUAUCCGCCUUCUUCGUCAGCUCUCCCACCAAGCGGUUGGACCGCGACCGAAAAAUCAGACCCCUCCCGUGUCUGCAAUAGUGUCGAUGAUUGCGCUCGCGUGCAUACCUGCUCGAACGUAACGCCACCCGAUGAUCUUAUCGAGGAACGAGUUUGAUCGUAAGAAGAAUCACGUGGAAGAAGGGGUCGCGGGCCAACGCGUAUCCGUUUACUGGAGCCGACGUAAUGAGACUUUGUACAUCGAACGACAGGGAGAUCAUAGUAAUUAUCUCGACGUCAAGCAGGAAAUUAAAAUCGAACGACUCUAAUAUAUAAGGAUUCAGUUUGAAUCGAAGAGCGUCGACAGGAAGGGAGUUUGAUUGGACGUGCACCGAUCGCGUAAUUAGACACGCCUCAUAUCUCGUCGAUGGCAUUGGGCGGCACCCAAUCGAUCGUCGAGGGAAGACGAGAGAGAGAGAGAGAGAGAGAGAGAGAGAGAGAGACAGACAGACGAGAGCCGAGAAGCAAAAGAAGGAGAUGCCCGCGUCGAGACGAGGAGAUUCGAAUCGCUCGCACCAGGGAUGUGUAACGAUGUAUCUAACUGUGCGAGUGUGAGAGAGAGAGAGAGAAACCAUAGGUCGACUAGAAAACGAUGCGUCCCUGGUGGUCGGUAGAAGUUAUAGGUGGCUACCGCAUGGCUGCGUUGGAAGAAACUUUAACCUCGGCGAAGAAGAACGUAGAAGACGACCGCGAACAGGCAUCGUCUCGCUACGCGCAUCCUGAGAUUCCCUAAGUGUGGUUCUAUGUACUUGCGAGACGACUCGGUCACUGCAAAUUAUAUAUGGAGCACAAAGGAGUCCGCCCCUGGAAGAAGGAAAGGCACGUUCGAAGGAGCAACCUGCGAAGAUCGUUCGUGCAGGAAGAAGAAGAAGAAGAAGAAGAAGAAGAAAGGAAAUCAACGAUCGCCUGGUAACGCGAUUAUUAGCAACGCCAAGAAAAGUCGAUUCAAAAGAGCAUACGGUUAAUCAGAGAGAAAAUAUAAAUCCACGCACGAAACUAAUUGCUCGUACCUGUUCGACAAAGGGGUAACUCGUCGAGGCCGCGCCAAUAAACACGUCCCGCUAUCUUCUCUCCUUUUUUCUUUUGCUCCUCGCUUCAUCUCCACCUUUCCUCCUCCCGCGUGUCGCGCCAAGUGGAAGGGCUGGCUACUUCAGGAGAGAGGCAGGGGGUCUUGAGUUAUUUAUCCGCGGAAGGGUCUAUUAAUUUCGAGCCAAUAAUAACUCGAACUCGUCGUACUAAUUAAUAUAUGAGCACCAUCGGCUUGGCAAGGCCCAAGCAGGUUCGUCUUCGCCGUGAGUGUAUCUUAAGGACUCGCUCGUCGUCCGUCCUUCUUUCUCUUUCUCACUCUCUUUCUCUCUCACUCACACUCAUCGCAUCGGCAAAGCGAUGAUGGAGGAUCGGUCCCGCCGACAAAGAUACCGCGACAUGAGCCAUGCGCUCUCGUUGCACGAAACUCGAUCGACUCUCUCUCUCUCUCUCUCUCUCUCUCCGUCCUCCUCUUCCUUCUCCUCCUUGUCUCUCUUCUUACCCUUAUAUCUGCUUCCUUCGAACUCCGAUGGAGAUCUUUAUAGGCGUGUCACUUCGAUAAAAACGUUAAGUAUCGACGUGCGGCCUACGGCUUCUGCCAAAAAGCGUCGAACCGACGACGAAGGAACGACGGAAAUACGAUGUCGUUCUGACAGCAUCGUAAAAAGAUUUUUUUUCAAUGGCCGAGAGCAUUAAGAGGAACUCUCUCAUUCACUAUCUCACUCUCCCUCUCUCUCUCUCUCUCUCUCUCUCUCUCGCUCGCUCGCUCGCUCGCUCGCUCGCUGUCCUUUCUCUCCUUCGUGCUUUACAUACUCGUCUUGCACGAAAUUCACUCGCGAAACGUUUCUGUUUUCCUUUUUUGCUUCACGAUGAUGUGAUACGUAAGUAUUUACCAGCCUCUUACACGGCUAAUAAAUAGUAGAUUCUUUCGUAAACAAUAAUCUCUUUCCCGUGUACCGUGUAGUAUCAUUACGUUAGAAAACAAACAAAGUUCACCGUACGAUCGUGUCGAGACACAUCGUUUAGCGUGACACCUCGAAGAAGGUCACGUACGAGUCAGUCUAGCGGUAAUGCUCGUAGAGUCAAGACGCAAGAGUUAACACUCUAUCUAAUUCUAUUCCCUCUGAAUCUUUAUACAUACUCGGUUGGGUUCUAUGUGUCUUCUAUACAUACGUCGUAGAAACGGUUAAGAGAAGUCAAGGGAAUUGGUACCGCUGAGUAAGUAAAGUUUCUUCGUGUAUACGAGGAGAGAACACGUGCAAGAACGAUUUCGCGAACGAUCGGUCGAACUCACGAGAAGUCGUCGAGCGGAUCGGCGAGGCCGAUCGGUCGGGUGCUUCGACGCGUGACCUCGCGGCCAGUUAUCGGGUUCCUUGGAAGAAGCUUGCUGAAUAUGUAAGAACCUGGUAUAGGCAAAGAAGACGAAGAAGAAGAAGAGGAGAAGGAAGAGGAGGAGGAGGACGGAUUUCCUUCGUAGGAGUGCCGAUGUCACGGGCCCGUGCCACGAGAACCACGAGAGCACGGAGGAUCGAGAAGUUAGUUAGCUCGUUUACGGUCUCCGUAGUUUUCUCCUUCUCUUCCUUACUCUAUCUAUCUUUUUCGCGGAACAGUGGUAGUACGAGGCACGUGUGUCUUCGCCCGAGUACUCGUCAGAUCGAUUUGCACCACGAAGAUUAGAAUGAAAAGGGGACAACGACUUUGAUCGUAUCGUAUGGAGAAUAAGAGCGAACGUUGGAAUAGAGAUGUCACGAAAGUAUA